CCUGGAAAAGGGGAACUGAAAAGCUAUUUUUGUAUCUUUAUUUUUAAGGAAUAUUGAUUUGUAGUUUUCUUUUUUUGUGAUGCUUUUAUCUGGUAUUGACAUCAGAGUAAUGCUGGUCUCUCAGGGAUGACCUGGAUUCCUCAGACAUUCACAUAAAUUGUGCAGACACAGGAGAAAAAAAUAAUUCAUGAAGAGACUACAUCAAUUAAUAUCUGUGGAGACUCAAAAUUCAACCUGUGAGAUGAGGUUCUGGACAUUCAUUGGGCAGAGUGACUCUCACAGUAGCCAGAAGGUGUUAGCUCCCCGCCUCUCCCCGUGAGCAGACUUCUAGACAACCAACUUACAUCCAAAUGUAUAGUACACUGAUGUUGACAUUUUUUAAUCUUAUCAGAUGGGUUUCAUGUACUGAUAGUGUGCCUGCUACCUGGCUGACUGAUAUUGUACUAUUGUGUUACAUUGCAGGCCAAACCUUGUUUCGGUAAGGCUAAAAUGUGAAACUAUGUACAGCUGACAAAUCAAUGAUACAAGAAAUGAGGGAGAAUUUCCUGGACUGCCCCAUCACAUUUACAAAUUUGAUAAAUAAUACCCUUUGAAAAUUGGUGGUUUGUCUUUGUUAAUGCAAUUUGUCAUCUUCAGAUGUGCAUUUGCUCAACUGGAAUGAAGAGAAGAAAGAUAUGCAGUAAUCGCCAGGUUUCCUCAUAGUGCGAUGAAGCGUAAAUCUGUAAUGCAGGAUGAGCAGCCCACCGUCCCUCAGCAGACAAAAGAAAUUAAUUGAAUAUGUGGAAAAACAGUCACUUAAAUCUGGAAAACAGUGUUGUCCCUUCUUAUCCUUCAAUUACAAUGUGUGAAAGCUUGUUAGUAUUUUAUUGAAAAUGCUUUCUAUAGCUCUUUGUGUCUCAUUAAACCCCAAAGCAAUUCCUGAAAUAUAGUGUGGCAAGGGCUGAGAUUCUGCCUGGGUUACUCUAUGGAAAAGACCAUUAUGGAAUAUCAUUAACUCCCUGUGGCCCCAGGAAGACCAGUAUGGAGAGAUCAAUUUCUUCAAAUUGAUGAAAGUUCUGUCUGCUUGGAAUGCCAUUCUGGUAUUUAUAACUGCUGUUCUAGGAAGAGUUUCUCAGCCUCCCAGCUGUUGGCACUGAGACCAGAUAAUUCAGUUUUGAUGUAGCUGUCCUGUGUUCUGUAGGUGCUUAACAACAUUUUUUGCCUCUAGACACCAGAAACACUCUUUUACACCCAUCUGAGAAUCAAAAACAUCUCCUCAUGUUGCCUCAUGUGCCCUGGGGUUCAAAGUUGUCCUGGGCUGAGAACUGUUGUUCUAAACUACUCUUUUCCAAGUCAGGGAAGCCCUGAGAAAACUAGAAUUGGAUGUUUGAAGAAUCCAUUCUGAUCAUGGGGUCAUAAUGACAGAAAUAUGAAGCUGGAAGGUUGAAUUAUCAAAAGCGUAUGCAAAACUCAUGAAAGCAACUACUUGAGGCUGUCAGAGCCUGAGGUCAAGAGUGCAACAGGAAGUUGAACUCUGAGAUAAUCACUGUCAGCCCUGAGUUUGAAGACAGAAAGCAUGGCACUUAUAUCUUUCAGUCUCAUUGAUUUUUUUGUAAAAGCCUUUACAAGUUUUACAGAACUUCUAAAACCACACAAAUUGAGCCUUAUUUGUUCACUCUGUCAUGGGCACUAGACAAAAAGAUUGUAAAUCUUUUUUUAUCAAGGUAGAUAAUAGAGUCAAGGGAAAUAACAAAGACUGUGGUAAGAUUCAAAUGGAACUACCAUGAAAAUAGUGAUUCCUACUUGUUAGUGGUUUUCAUAUCCACCUGAAGGGAUUUUCUGUGUACAUUU